AUUGAACGCUGGCGGCAGGCCUAACACAUGCAAGUCGAACGAGUGGCGGAAGGGUGAGUAAUGGAUGGGAAACUGCCUGAUGAAGGGGGAUAACUACUGGAAACGGUAGCUAAUACCGCAUACCAUCGGGUGUGACCAUAUGGGAUAGGCUAGUAGGUGGGGUAACGGCUCACCUAGGCGACGAUCCCUCGCUGGUCUGAGAGGAUGACCAUCCACAGUGGAAUUGAGACACGGUCCAGACUCCUCCGGGAGGCAGCAGUGGGGAAUAUUGCACAAUGGGCGCAAGCCUGAUGCAGCCAUGCAGCGUGUAUGAAGAAGGCCUUCGGGUUGUAAAGGACUUUCAGCGGGGAGGCGUUACCCGCAGAAGAAGCACCGGCUAACUCCGUGCCAGCCGCCGCGGUAAUUC
rnacentral:rRNA from 1 species